rnacentral:rRNA from 1 species
CUUGACCUCAAAUCAGGUAGGAUUACCCGCUGAACUUAAGCAUAUCAAUAAGCGGAGGAAAAGAAACCAACCGGGAUUGCCUUAGUAACGGCGAGUGAAGCGGCAAAAGCUCAAAUUUGAAAUCUGGUACCUUUGGUGCUCGAGUUGUAAUUUGUAGAAGGCGACUCUGGGGCUGGUCCUUGUCUAUGUUCCUUGGAACAGGACGUCAUGGAGGGUGAGAAUCCCGUGUGGCGAGGAUCCCAGUUCUUUGUAGAGUGCCUUCGAAGAGUCGAGUUGUUUGGGCAUGCAGCUCUAAGUGGGUGGUACAAUUCCAUCUAAAGCUAAAUAUUGGCGAGAGACCGAUAGCGAACAAGUACAGUGAUGGAAAGAUGAAAAGAACUUUGAAAAGAGAGUGAAAAAGUACGUGAAAUUGUUGAAAGGGAAGGGCAUUUGAUCAGACAUGGUGUUUUGUGCCCCUCGCUCCUCGUGGGUGGGGGAAUCUCGCAGCUCACUGGGCCAGCAUCAGUUUUGGCGGCAGGAUAAAUCCCUGGGAAUGUAGCUCUGGCAUUUAUGUUGGAGAACUUAUAGCUCAGGGGAAUACUGCCAGCCGGGACUGAGGAAUGCGACUUUUAGUUCAAGGAUGCU